CACGUAGGCACCAAGCGUUGUCCGGAUUUAUUGGGCGUAAAGAGCUCGUAGGCGGUUCAGUAAGUCGGGUGUGAAAACUUUGGGCUUAACCCAAAGCGUGCAUCCGAUACUGCUGUGACUUGAGUUCGGUAGGGGAGUGGGGAAUUCCUAGUGUAGCGGUGAAAUGCGCAGAUAUUAGGAGGAACACCGGUGGCGAAGGCGCCACUCUGGGCCGAAACUGACGCUGAGGAGCGAAAGCAUGGGUAGCAAACGGG
rnacentral:rRNA from 1 species